GCUUGCAAUUCCGGCAAAAUAUGGUCUCGAAAUAUAAGUCACAUUUCAAAAGUCAUUUUGGGUUUCCUACACGAAAAAUGCCAUCUAUUUAGAACAUGAUACCUGAAAUCACGCGCUCCUAUAUUUUGAAGAAAUUAAAUAUCCCGUUUCGGCAAAAACCUUCCAAACCUUGCAUGUCAUAUCUGAAAGGGCUAACAGAUCCUUUUCAUUUUGCAUCAUAUAUGGUACUUGGACCGUUGGACGACGUCCAACCGUUGAACGACUCAGCUAACGGUACUUGGCCCGUUGGACGACGGAUUAAGGACGACGUCCAACCGUUGGACGACUCAGCCAACGGUACUUGGACCGUUGGACGACGGAUUGAGGACGACGUCCAACCGUUGGACGACUCAGCCAACGGUACUUGGUCCGUUGGACGACAGAUUGUGGACGACGUCCAACCGUUGGACGACUCAGCCAACGGUCUCUGCCUCGGAGUCGGGAUCCUUCUAGAGUCAGGAAGGACGAACCCGCCCUGAAAGACGCACAAAACAUGAGGCCAAUGGUGCAGUAUUGGCAACGUGGUAGAGGCACGGCGCAUCGUGCGACGUGGAACCGCCGAGGAGGGGAGGGGUCGGGAAGGGAGCAAG